GAGUUUGAUCCUGGCUCAGGAUUAACGCUGGCGGCAUGCCUAAAGCAUACAAGUUGAACGAGAAAAGUUUACUUUUCUAGUAGCGAACGGGUGAGUAACACGUAUCUAAUCUACCUUGAAGUUGGGGAUAACUAGUGGAAACACUAGCUAAUACCGAAUAACACAUUUCAUCGCCUGAUGAUUUGUUGAAAGGGGCCUUUAAAGCCUCGCUUCUAGAUGAAGGUGCGGCGUAUUAGCUAGUUGGAGGUGUAAAAGACCAACAAGGCAACGAUGCGUAGCUAGUCUGAGAGGACGAAUAGCCACAUUGGGACUGAGACACGGCCCAAACUCCUACGGGAGGCCGCAGCAAGGAAUUUUCCACAAUGGACGAAAGUCUGAUGGAGCAAUGCCGCGUGCACGAUGACUGCCCUCUGGGUUGUAAAGUGCUGUUAUAAAAGAGAAAAACAUGACUAGGAAAUGAGUCAUGCUUGAUAUUAUUUUAUCAGAAAGGCACGGCAAACUAUGUGCCAGCAGCCGCGGUAAUACAUAGGUGUCGAGCGUUAUCCGGAAUCACUGGGCGUAAAGGGUGCGUAGACGGUUUAAUAAGUCUAAGGUUAAAGGCGUGAGCUCAACUCACGUUUGCCUCGGAAACUAUUAAACUAGAGUUCGAUAGAGGAAUAUGGAAUUUGAUGUGUAGCGGUGAAAUGCGUAGAUAUAUCAAGGAACACCAUUAGCGAAGGCAAUAUUCUGGGUCGUAACUGACGUUGAGGCACGAAAGCGUGGGUAGCAAAUAGGAUUAGAUACCCUAGUAGUCCACGCCGUAAACAAUGAGUACUAAAGGUCGGCAUGAGUCGGUCUUCAAGUUAACACGUUAAGUACUCCGCCUGAGUAGUACGCUCGCAAGAGUGAAACUCAAAGGAAUUGACGG
rnacentral:rRNA from 1 species